rnacentral:lncRNA from 1 species
UAAUCCCAUUUUAUAUUUGUGUAAACUGAGGCUGAGAAACAGUAAAAAGUGACAUGCCCAGAGUCACAAAGCUAGCAGUCUAUGAGCUAAAGUCUAUGAGGUGGAGAGCUCUGUUUAAAAAUUGGCUUUCACUUGUUGAUAUAUUCCUUGCAUGGCUUCAAUAAAAAUGUAAACCAGGGACUUUUUGUUGAUUCUAAGGCUAUUUAGUGGGUAUUACACAGUGACUUGCUAGUACUGAAAAAUCCAAGUGUCUGGUAAAUGUCCAGAGCUUUGGUACAGAUCCUAAAUGAAGCCAGUAAAAGGAGAAAGAGCUGCAGUUUCUCUAGAGGAAACACGAGACUUUCCAGGACUUUGUACAAAUCUACUUCCUUGACUCCUGUCUAGCCUGAUGGCAUGAUACAGCGCAGAUAGAUACAGAACGUUCCGCCACUUCCAAAACACGAAUAGAAAGUACCAAGUUUAUACCUACAGAGAAGGAUCGAUUCUGCUUGGGACGGGAUGCGUUUGGUCGAAGAUCAGAUGGUAACAUAGUAGAAGCCUGUGACUGCUGAAUGGGACAGGCAUGACUCUUCCCCAAAUGAGCUCUCCUUCUCCUCUUCAGUCUUCCAUGCUUGCAAAGGACAACUGGAGGUGUGGCAAAGAAUCAAAAACUGAGGGGAUGUCCAUCCAUUGGGGAAUGACUGAACAAAUUGUGCACUGGUGA